rnacentral:misc_RNA from 1 species
GAUGAGAACGCAGCGAAAUGCGAUAAUUAAUGUGAAUUGCAGAAUUCAGUGAAUCAUCGAGUCUUUGAACGCACAUUGCGCCCCCUGGUAUUCCGGGGGGCAUGCCUGUCCGAGCGUCAUUGCUGCCCUCAAGCCCGGCUUGUGUGUUGGGCCUUGCUCCCCCGGGGGCAGGCCCGAAAGGCAGUGGCGGCACCGCGUCCGAUCCUCGAGCGUAUGGGGCUUUGUCACCCGCUCUGUAGGCCCGGCCGGCGCUUGCCGACCCCAAUCAAUCUUUUUUCAGGUUGACCUCGGAUCAGGUAGGGAUACCCGCUGAACUUAAGCAUAUCAAUAAGCGGAGGA